GGCGGCGGCGGCCGGGACCGUUGAGGCCGCGGCGGCGGCCGUUGGUGGACAGCUCCGCUGAGCGGGCUGCGGGGCGGGAGGCGGCGGCGGGCCGGGCCCGCCCGGGCUCUUCCCGCCGGCGCUGGACCCUGCGAAGUUGCACUGAAAGCAGUCGCCGAACAGCGAGGCGUUUGCUUGCGGACACCUUCUCCUCGGCGCGCGUGAGCACGCAGCGAAAGCGUUACGUUCUCGCUGCUUUUACAGCCGCCUGGUGUCUCCUGGUCUGCUUCUCUCCUGCUGUCCAGGUUGCAGCAAGGCUCCUGGUCACCGCUAGCGUCUUCUUUCGCUGCCGUGCAAGCUGCAAACAGGUAAGCUGAAACAUAUGUUCUGCUCUGUGGUUUUAUCUGUCUGAAGGAGAACGUCUAUUCUGCAUCUCUGUGGUGCUUCAUGUGGCAAGACGUAUUUGAGAAUGUGGAGAAAAAAGCAUGGACUGCCAAGGGAAUUUGGAUAAUACAGACUGGACUCAUGAGCUUUAUCUUGCAAACAUCACAUAGGUGACAUCUGCAGCUGCCAGAAGUCAGUUUGAAGUCAACUCCAUUAAUGAUAAGCACUGUUUUUAAAAUUGGAGCACAGCCACAACUCCUUAUUUCAGAAGAUAAAAGUAACUUUAGACCUUGAAGAAAAAAAAGGUAGCUAUGCUAGUUCAUUCACAUUGCAGGGAUGCUCUAUUCAGGAGUGUUUGGAUAUACUUGAUGGCACCUAUGAGAGUACUGUCCUGUAAAUUGUGCAUAUUUGUGGGAACCUAAGAGAGCUCAUAAUCAAAAUAAACAGUAGGAAAUUCUUGGCCAUCAUCACUGGCAUAACAGACAAUAACUGUGCCUGGAAAUAGAGAUUGGCAUAGUCAACAUUGUUGACUGUUUUGUACAGGAGGCUUAUUUUCCCAGACUGACACACUUAAUAAACAUUUUCUAUUUGUUGGAA